UACGUAGGUGGGGAGCGUUGUCCGGAUUUACUGGGCGUAAAGAGCGCGCAGGCGGUCGUUCAAGUCGCGUGUGAAAGCCCCCGGCUCAACUGGGGAGGGUCACGCGAUACUGAUCGACUCGAAGGCAGGAGAGGGUAGUGGAAUUCCCGGUGUAGUGGUGAAAUGCGUAGAUAUCGGGAGGAACACCAGUGGCGAAGGCGACUACCUGGCCUGUUCUUGACGCUGAGGCGCGAAAGCUAGGGGAGCAAACGGG
rnacentral:rRNA from 1 species